rnacentral:rRNA from 1 species
ACUCCUACGGGAGGCAGCAGUGGGGAAUAUUGCACAAUGGGCGCAAGCCUGAUGCAGCCAUGCCGCGUGUGUGAAGAAGGCCUUCGGGUUGAUAAAGCACUUUCAGUCGUGAGGAAGGUAGUGUAGUUAAUAGCUUGCUAUUAUUUUGACGUUAGCGACAGAAGAAGCACCGGCUAACUCCGUGCCAGCAGCCGCGGUAAUACGGAGGGUGCGAGCGUUAAUCGGAAUUACUGGGCGUAAAGCGCAUGCAGGUGGCUUGUUAAGUCAGAUGUGAAAGCCCGGGGC